rnacentral:rRNA from 1 species
UACGAAGGGGGCUAGCGUUGCUCGGAAUCACUGGGCGUAAAGGGUGCGUAGGCGGGUCUUUUAAGUCAGGGGUGAAAUCCUGGGAGCUCAACUCCAGAACUGCCUUUGAUACUGGACAUCUUGAGUACGGGAGAGGUGAGUGGAACUCCGAGUGUAGAGGUGAAAUUCGUAGAUAUUCGGAAGAACACCAGUGGCGAAGGCGGGUCUCUGGACAGUUCCUGACGCUGAGGCACGAAGGUCAGGGGAGCAAACGGGG